CUUUUCAUCAUUGAUGAAUACAAAUGUUUCAUCGACGCAUGUGAAUAUUUCAACCAUUGGUCUUACUGCACCUGAAGAAUUUUGGAACUACAAUGUAUUAAGGAUGUCAACUGGAUUAGAUGAUUUAGGCAGUAUGCAAUGGCAACUGGUUGUUCCACUUAUAAUUAGUUGGAUAAUUAUAUUUCUCUGUAUAAUAAAAGGUGUCAAAUCCGCUGGAAAGGUGGUAUAUCUGACAGCUAUAGCACCGUACAUCAUUAUUACAAUCAUUUUAAUUAGAGCCGCUACCUUGCCUGGUGCCAUAGAUGGUGUGAAAUUCUACAUAAUUCCUGAUUUUAGUAAAUUAGCUAAU